rnacentral:tRNA from 1 species
GGCUCAAUGGUCUAGUGGUAGGAUACUCGCUUCGGGUCAUGUCUCAUCCGAUCUCACGACGGAGUAACAGACGGGUAAUCCCAAUCUCAGAGAAUGAGAUCCUGUGAGUGGUCCCGGGUUCAAAUCCCGGUUGAGCCC